rnacentral:rRNA from 1 species
UACGAAGGGGGCUAGCGUUGCUCGGAAUUACUGGGCGUAAAGCGCGUGUAGGCGGCUAAGUAAGUCGGGCGUGAAAUCCCACGGCUCAACCGUGGAAGUGCACUCGAAACUGCAUAGCUAGAGUCCUGGAGAGGAAGGUGGAAUGCUUGGUGUAGAGGUGAAAUUCGUAGAUAUCAAGCGGAACACCCGUGGCGAAGGCGGCUCUCUGGGACGGUACUGACGCUGAGACGCGAAAGCGUGGGGAGCGAACAGG